GUGGACCCCGACCCGGACCAUGUGGGUCCGCCCCUGCUACUAACCCCUCUGAUCCUCAUCAGGUAACUAUUUAUUGGUGUUCACUUUCUUAAUUAUAGUUUUCUUAGUAUUUUUGUUAACUGUUACGCUAGUUUUUUUUAAUACCAAACAGCAAUGGAUUAAAGAUGAGAAAUUUAGCACCGAUGAAGAGGCUAUGUUAUGGACUAAUACCAUUGCAAGUAUGGGACUUGUCCCACAUCGGUUGUAUGGGCAACCAAUGUGGGGUUUAUAUACCAAAUGGGCUCCCUCACCCACCAGACUAGUCUUUUGGGUUGUGUUCUCCUGUUUGGUAUGUAACAUUGGUAUCAGAGCCAGAACUCGGAGUGGUGGCCCACGGAGUGGUGGCCUGGAGAGAGCCAGCCGUGACCAACGUGGCCGUGACCAACGAGGCUCGGAGUGGUGGCCCAUGGAGUGGUGGCCUGGAAAGAGCCAGCCGUGACCAACAUGGCCGUGACCAACGAGGACGUUGGCCCUUAAGGAGGGUCGAUUGUUAUGGACUAAUACCAUUGCAAGGUAUGGGACUUGUCCCACAUCGGUUGUAUGGGCAACCAAUGUGGGGUUUAUAUACCUAAUGGGCUCCCUCACCCACCAGACUAGUCUUUUGGGUUGUGUUCUCCUGUUUGGUAUGUAACAGGCUAUUCUUCUUUUGCGUUAAUAAACAAGGCCACUGGUGAAGCACUUAAUCACGCAAUUGGUGUCAAGUACCCGGUAUGCUAUGCUAUGUUACCAGAAGAACGUUGGGAUUUAUUGUAUGUACUGUUAAAUGGUGAAAUACUAAAUGAUUUUAUUGAAUGGUAUAUAGACGUCAUAACAAAACCCUGACAAACCUAAAAUAAGCCCAUGUGCUCAUACUAAUAAACCCUAAUCUGAUAAUAGUAUCUAAUAUGUACGUCUUCAUUUGUUUUCCUAAUUCAGGUUAAGCUAAGGGAGUACAAUCCUAAUGUAGUUGAGAAGUCUGUACUUUGGAGUAUGGGCAGGAACUUGGGUGAUGGUUAUCGGGCUGUGCGGGCAGCCGAUAAUAUACACCUUAAUCUUACUGCACAUGACACUGAUCUUUAUGAUACAGACAUUGUUUUCUGGAAAUGGGACAGCACUGAUAACCAGAUGUGGACGAUAGCAUCUUAUUAAGAACGUUGGGAUGAGGAUAUGGUGGGAUUGAAUUUUGAUGUCUAAGGACCAUUUUCUUACAUGGAGCAAGUUAGGUCAAUUUCUUUUGAGGUUUUGAAGAUGUUGUUUCAUAACCAAGUAGUUGGACCAUCAAACGCAUGAUUUGUGGUUACUAUUUCUAUGUGGUAUACUUCAGUUGAUUUUGUUAUCUAUAUAACUUAAGCUUAUAAUCAUUUCUGUCUAUGAUGUUGCUUUGUUAUGUUAGUUUUUGCAAAACCGUUGUUUC
rnacentral:lncRNA from 1 species